CGGUUCAUCCCUGCUCAAUGAGCAGAGAUUAAAGAAGAUAAAGGAUAUUACAAGCCUCCCCCGGCUAUCAUGGUUGGUAAGCAGGAAUUCAGGUAUGGGAGAACAGUUGUGGAUCACUAUUAUACUGCGUUACGGAGAUUAUGUAUAAUUAUACGAGGUUUUAGGAUACUUUGUAUAAUGGAUAAACAAGUAUUAUCUUGCGAUGAGUAAUUGUAUAGUAGAUUUUCAAUUUAGGCUAUUAUUUUAUUGUGGGCCAUAACCCACAGGAUUAAGUUAUGCUUCCGCUGACGAUUAAGGUCAUGUAAAUUUGUCGGGCCGUUACAAAGGGAAAGUUUGAUAAAACUUGAUAUGGUCAUGAUUGAUGAAUAUAUUUUUUCUCUUAAUUAGUA